rnacentral:rRNA from 1 species
ACGAACGCUGGCGGCUGCUUAACACAUGCAAGUCGAACGGAGUGGCGAACGGGUGAGUAACGCGUGAGCAAUCUGCCUAUGACAGUGGGAUAGCCUCGGGAAACCGGGAUUAAUACCGCAUAGUCAUAGAUGGGCUCGCGUCUGAUUAGCUAGUUGGUUAGAUAACAGCCCACCAAGGAGACGAUCAGUAGCCGGUCUGAGAGGAUGAACGGGCACAUUGGAACUGAGGCACGGUCCAAGCUCCUACAGUGGGCAGCGGUGGGGAAUAUUGCACAAUGGGGGAAACCCUGAGGCGGCGACGCCGCGUGAACGAAGAAGGUAUUCGUAUCGUAAAGUUCUGUCCUAUGAGAAGCAGUACCAUAGAAGAAAGCUCCGGCUAAAUACGUGCCAGCAGCCGCGGUAAUAC